rnacentral:rRNA from 1 species
GACGAACGCUGGCGGCGUGCUUAACACAUGCAAGUCGAACGAUGAAGCUGGAGCUUGCUCCGGUGGAUUAGUGGCGAACGGGUGAGUAACACGUGAGCAAUCUGCCCUUGACUCUGGGAUAACUGCGGGAAACUGUAGCUAAUACCGGAUAUGAGGCUCGAAGGCAUCUUCGGGUCUGGAAAGAAUUUCGGUCAAGGAUGAGCUCGCGGCCUAUCAGCUUGUUGGUGAGGUAAUGGCUCACCAAGGCGACGACGGGUAGCCGGCCUGAGAGGGGAACCGGCCACACUGGGACUGAGACACGGCCCAGACUCCUACGGGAGGCAGCAGUGGGGAAUAUUGCACAAUGGGCGAAAGCCUGAUGCAGCAACGCCGCGUGAGGGAUGAAGGCCUUCGGGUUGUAAACCUCUUUUAGCAGGGAAGAAGCGAAAGUGACGGUACCUGCAGAAAAGGCACCGGCUAACUACGUGCCAGCCGCCGCCGUAA